UGUUAAUAACAAUCUUUCAAGGGUCCACAAAAUGAGUACAGACAGAAGGUAGGGGACCCCUUGGACCAUCGUUUCCUGCCCUCAGUUUGGGGCUGUAGGGGGUAUCACUUGGGGGUGCUCGGGCGUGGAAUCACUUUUUGGACCUCUCUAUUGAUUGAAAGGCGAAGAUGACGAACAGUAAACGAAUGGCAUAAAAGUGAUCACGAAAUAGAAAACAAGUCGUCAUUAUGAAUCGAAAUUACCAAAGAUAUCACAAGUGAGAAAAUGAUUGAUGCUCUUAAAGGGAUGUUUUGUCGAACAGGAUUGCCGUUAUCAAUUACAAGUACUUCAGGUAAUGGACCUCAGUUUAGGUCAGAAACCUUUGAGAACUACUUGACGGAAAAUGGAAUCAAACACAGAGCUGUAACUCCAUUGCAUUCUGCAGCUAACGGAGAAGUAGAAAGGCAGAACCAUUCAUUGAUGAAAUGCAAGCUGAAUCCACAAAACUGGGGGAAGAAAAUUCGUAAAUAUUUGUUUGCAUACCGGAGAAAUCCACACAAUACCACAGGAGUCUCCCCAGCGAACUGUUGUUCAUGCGAACUGAGUGAAGAUACUGAGACUUCAUCUGAGGUGGCGAUCAGAAUCCGAAACCGUGGAGCCGAGGUCAACUUGAAUCGAGAAACCGCCGAAACGUUUCAUGGACUUUGAGCAGUAAUUUCUUUCAGAGUGAUUUGACUGUGUAAAUGUGAUUCCCAUGACUGUAAAUGAGUAUUUUUCUAGUGACUGUUUCUAUUAUUCAUUAUCCAAUAUUAUCCAGUAAAGUUAAAAGAAUUAUCGUUCUUUGUACAUCGGAGAUCUAGAGUAGUUUUAGGAGUUAGUGGUCAUUUGUGAACAUGUGUAUGUGUGCGUAAUAAACUGUUAAUACGA